CAGCCGCCGCGGUAAUACCGGCGGCCCGAGUGGCGGUCACUAUUAUUGGGCUUAAAGCGUCCGUAGCCGGGUUGGGAAGUCCUCCGGGAAAUCUGGCCGCUUAACGGUCAGAAUGCCGGAGGAUACUCCCAGCCUAGGGAGCGGGAGAGGCCGAGGGGAUUCCCGGAGUAGGGGGGAAAUCCUAUAAUCCCGGGAGGACCACCGGUGGCGAAGGCGCUCGGCUGGAACGCGUCCGACGGUGAGGGACGAAGGCCAGGGGAGCAAACCGGAUUAGAUACCCGGGUAGUCCUGGCUGUAAACGAUGCGGACUUUGUGUCGGACAAGCUAUGAGCUUGUCCGGUGCCGGAGGGAAACCGUUAAGUCCGCCGCCUGGGGAGUACGGCCGCAAGGCUGAAACUUAAAGGAAUUGGCGGG
rnacentral:rRNA from 1 species